rnacentral:rRNA from 1 species
AACGUAGGAAGCGAGCGUUAUCCGGAUUUACUGGGCGUAAAGCGUGUGUAGGCGGUUUGACAAGUUGGAUGUGAAAGCUCCUGGCUUAACUGGGAGAGGUCGUUCAAAACUGUCAGACUCGAGAGUGGUAGAGGGAGGUGGAAUUCCGGGUGUAGUGGUGAAAUGCGUAGAUAUCCGGAGGAACACCAGUGGCGAAAGCGGCCUCCUGGCCCAUUUCUGACGCUCAGACACGAAAGCUAAGGUAGCAAAC